rnacentral:rRNA from 1 species
UUUGGAUAACUGUGGUAAUCUUAAAGUUCAUAAGUGUCAUCAAGUCCCGACCAAUCUGAUUGGGAAGGACGCUUUUAAUAGAUCAAGACCAAUCGCUCAGCUUCGGUUGAGCGUUUCCUUGGCGACUCUAGGUAACACAUCAUAUCGCAUGGUCUCGCACCGGCGACUUAUCUUUCAAAUGCCUGACUUAUCAACUGUCGAUGGUAGACUCUAUGUCUACCAUGGUUGUAACGGGUAACGGGGAAUCAGGGUUCGAUUCCGGAGAGGGAGCCUGAGAAACGGCUACCACAUCCAAGGAAGGCAGCAGGCACGCAAAUUACCCACUCCCGGCACGGGGAGGUAGUGACAAAAAAUAACGAUACGGGACUCAUAUGAGGCCCCGUAAUCGGAAUGAGUACACUUUAAAUCCUUUAACAAGGAUCCAUUGGAGGGCAAGUCUGGUGCCAGCAGCCGCGGUAAUUCCAGCUCCAAUAGCGUAUAUUAAAGUUGUUGCGGUUAAAAAGCUCGUAGUUGGUUCUGCGUGCUACGCUGUCGGUUCGCCGCCUGCCGGUGUAACUGGCAUGCCGUGGCAUGUCCUGUCGGUGGCGUUCGGGUGCCUUGUCAGGUUCCUACCUCCAGACCGCAAGGGACGGUUGGAUAUUCAACUGGAGGUCUCCCCGUUCGCCUACUCUAUCCUACCUAGGUGCUCUUCACCGAGUGUCGAGGUAGGCCGACACGUUUACUUUGAACAAAUUAGAGUGCUCAAAGCAGGCUGAAAUUUCUGCCUGAAUAGUGGUGCAUGGAAUAAUAAAACAGGACCUCGGUUCUAUUUUGUUGGUUCUUAGGAACACGAGGUAAUGAUCAAUACGGACAGGCGGGGGCAUUCGUAUUGCGUCCUCCGAUGAGGCGGGGCCGGGAAACCAAAGCUUUUGGGUUCCGGGGGAAGUAUGGUUGCAAAGCUGAAACUUAAAGGAAUUGACGGAAAGGCACCACCAGGACUGGAGCCUGCGGCUUAAUUUGACUCAACACGGGAAACCUCACCAGGCCAGGACAUUGGAAGGAUUGACAGAUUGAUAGCUCUUUCUUGAUUCAGUGGGUAGUGGUGCAUGGCCGUUCUUAGUUGGUGGAUCGAUUUGUCUGGUUAAUUCCGAUAACGAACGAGACUCUAGCCUAUUAACUAGGCGCUACCGGUGUCCUCGCCACCGGCGACACUCAUUCUUCUUAAGGGGACAGGCGGCUUAUAGCCGCACGAGAUUGAGCGAUAACAGGUCUGUGAUGCCCUUAGAUGUCCUGGGCCGCACGCGCGCUACACUGAAGGAAUCAGCGUGUGACUCCCAGGCCGAAAGGUCCGGGUAAUCCGCUGAACCUCCUGCGUGCUAGGAAUUGGGGCUUGCAAUUCUUCCCCAUGAACGAGGAACUCCCAGUAAGCGCGAGUCAUAAGCUCGCGUUGAUUACGUCCCUGCCCUUUGUACACACCGCCCGUCGCUACUACCGAUUGAAUGAUUUAGUGAGGUCUUCGGACUGGCGGUAAUCGCGGCCGUGAUGAAUUGUCGUGAUGAACGUUGGGAAGAUGACCAAACUUGAUCAUUUAGAGGAAGUAAAAGUCGUAACAAGGUUCCC